CCUCCCCCGCCCGCUUCCAAAUCAUAAAUUAACAACAGUGGACCUUGUGAAGUGCAGCUUCGCAAAUUAAUAUGAAAUACGGGGCUUUUUCAUAAGCUUCAGAACCAGAUUUAAAAGCAUAUUGGUGUUUGUACACAGCAGGCCGUAAUGAUCCAUUAUCCUGCAGACAGAGGAGCUCGCAGCAACACAUAAAGAAGAUGCAGUUGGGCCAUCUGCUUUGAUUUCUGCAGCGUCCCCAGAGAUGCAAGGGAGGGGCCGACAGUCCUCUCCAUCUGCCCUUACAUUAUCAAUUACAGUUGAAUUAUGCCGGGAGCUGUAGGGCUGGCAGAUACGGAUGGGCGGCUGUGGCACCUGAAAAAUAUAGAAGAAAAUCCAUAUGUUGGGAGCCAGCUGUUUAUUUACAAGUCCUUGACAUAUUUCCUCACUUUCUCGGCUGCUGCCUUUUUUAAGGUUCCUAGAGACGUUUCGGUUCAGUGUGAACUUGAGAAGAAAUUAGGUGUAGCAGCAUAGCACCACAUGAAUAAUAUUUCAGUUUCCUUUUUUUUUUUUUUUUUUUUACAGUCGAAAUGUGCGCGGAGCAAAAAAAAAAAAAAAAAACCAACGAAAACCAUCAGGUCGAACAGAUUUUAAAUUAUGAAAAAAAAAUAAGUUGUGAAAACAUCUGGGGUGGCUGCUACAGCUUGUUAUGUUUAUAAAACAUGUUGGAACCGGCGGGGGCCACGCACACUGUACAUUUUUUGGCAGCUUAGAAAUCAUGUGUAAAACUGUAACUUUUAUGAAAUGGUAAGUGUUUAUGGAAGCUUAGGGGGCGGGGAGGUAGACAUCGGAGCGGGCCCUGCACUUCCUGAGGUCUUUUCCCACAGUUUCUAGGGCAGGGUUUUGUUUUGUUUUGACUGGUAUUUUUUCUUUCUUUUCCAACAAGGGGAAGUGCCUUGUCCCUGGUUCGAUUCGUUCUAGACCGGGCAGGUGCACGGCUGCCGCCCUGAUUCGGUCGCGCUUGGGUUUUACGGUGCGGUAUUGCUUCCAACCGUGUGGGAGUUUACCCUUGGUUCUUACUUCACGCCAUGUCCUCUCCCCACAUCCACUCAACCGGAGAGUCUGUGUGCGCGUGUUUGCUCAGCUGAGUUCCAACUCAGUGCGUCUGGAGGGUGGCGGGGGGAGGGUUGGAGUUGGAAUUCAGCAGUUGCAGGCGACAAGGGGCCUCGUGCUGGCUGAGGGGAGACUGUUUCGGAGAUGCCCCAGAAGCAGAGAUCUUUGCAGGGUGAACGAAGAGACUCAGACUAGAAGUCAAGCCCCAAUUGUCUCUUGCCCCUUGGGGCCGAUUCAGGGGGCCUCCUGGUCUGUAGGCUAAGUCGGAGAUCCUAUGCUUAACACUGUUUCUUGCAUUAUGCUUUAGAUCAGUAAGUGAGAGCUUCCUGAAGGAAGGGAUGAACUUCCUUAGGUCUGCUUCUUUCUUAAGACCAGCAUUCCAAGCGUUUGUCAGAUGUUGGAUGAAUGAACCCAUCAAUGAACGGUACCUUAGGAUUUACUUUACGUUACGUAAGACUCGCAGCAGCAGCAAGUGCGAAAUCUAAGAACUACAGAACCCCGUCGUUCCGUGACAUGGCCAUUGAGAUGCCAGCUCUUUGUUACUAAGGAUGCCUUCUCAAACGUGACCACUGUCAGCCGGCCAGGGUGUCUCAUUCUCUUUGUGACCAUUGGGCAGCUCCCUGGAGAAGAGAGGACCCCCACGGGGGUUGUGCUCACAGGCGGUGCUGAUUGUUGUUCUUUUUUUGUCUUUUUUUGUCUUUUUUUGUUGGGUCCAUCUCAUGGAGAUGACGUCAUGUGUGCACGCUGAUGCCCAUGCCGCUUCGUCGUAGAAGCUCAGUGCGUGAGAGUUUUCAUACAACCGCAUCAGGACCCUGUAUGAUCAUCUGUGGGGCCCAGUGCAAAAGGAAACUGUGAGGCUCCUCGAUCACAACUGAAGAACUUCAAGGGGAUGACAGCAAAGCCUUAACCAAGCACAGAGCCCUUCUGAGCAGAUGCCCCCUCUAGGCGGUGGCCUCAUGCAGCUGCUCAGGCCACAGGCCCAGGAAGCCGGCCCCGCCGGUGUUGUCACCACAUCUGCUGGCGGCAGGCCCACUGCUACGGCCUCUACCUCCUUCCCCAUCUUCCUCUUCCUCCACAAGGCAUUAUGCAAGAGUCUCUUACCCGGCUUCCUGUCUCAUCAUUCCCUUUGCCCCAACUCUUUCACUCAGGUCUCUAAUCUCUACUCCUCAUAUCAUACUUAAGAGAAAGGGUGUAGCAAUAGAAUGACUCAGAGAGGUGAACUGAAUUGGCUAAGACCACAUGGAAGGUUAGUGGCUGCUAUGGACUCAGUUGUGCCCCGCCCCUCAGUUUGUAUUUUGAAGCCCGAACCCCAGUGUGACUAGACUCGGAGACAGGACCUUUAUGGAGGUAACUGACAUUAGAGAAGGUCAUAAGGAUGGGGCCCCGAUCCAAUAGGACUGGUGUCAUUAUAAGACAGAGACACCCGGACAGCUCUCUUUCUCACCAUGUGCACACAGAGGAUAGGCCGUGUGAAGGCCCGGCGAGAAGGCACCUGUCUGCAAGUCAGGAAGAUUUCUCAUCGGAAACCAAAUUUGCUGGACCUUGAUCCUGAGCUUCUGGCCUCCAGAAUUUGGAGAAAAUCAACUUCUGUUGUUUAAGCUUCCCAGUCUGUGAUAUUUUAUGCUAGCAGUUCGAGCAGACUGAUAGAGCGGCAGAGCUUGGAUUGCAGCCUAGCAGGAACUUCUCAGUUUGCCUAUAAAGUCCGUGCAGAUGGUGACCGAGGCUUUUACUUCUCCUGCGUCUUCCAUUGACUCCAUGCAGGAUGCAUGAGCAUGCAUGGAGAGGCAAAGUGACAGCGAAUGCACACUGUGCAUUCAUGGAGAGGACUCCAUGAGCAUGCAGGAGAGGCAAAGUGACAGCGAAUGCACGCCCGAGGGACAGAAGAAAGUCACUGAUGCUCCAUUAGCUGGUAUCUUUGAUAACUUCGGUCCUGGAUAUCUAGCCAGGGCUACUUAACAAAUCACCACGUAACGUAAUCCGAUGGCUUAAAACAGCGACAACUAUGCGCUUGCCCAGGAUUCUGUAAUUUAGGCAGCACGCCAAAGGGAGAGCUCGUCUCUACUCCACGUGGCCUCAGCUGGAAUGGCUCCUAAGUGGCUGGAGGGUCCACCUCUCAGAUGGCUUACUCCCACGGACGGCAAAUUGGAAUGCUGGCUGUCUGCGAGGAGCUCAGCGGGGGCUAUCCACCGUGUCUGGUUUCUACCUCACGGGUCCUCUUCCCCCCUGGGCUGGACUUUCGACAGCAUGGCAGCUGGGAUCCCAGAGGGAGCAGCCUAACAGCAAAUGUUCUAAGCGGACAAGUCCCAAUGUCCAAGCUUGCACUGCCCAAUAGGGUAGCCACCAGCCACGUGUGCCUACAGGGCACUUGAAGGUUAGUCUGAAUCAAGAUGUGCUUUAAGGGCAAAAUACACACUAAGUUUGCAAACUUACUCUGAAAAAUAGAAGGAAAAAUGUCCCUAGGACCUUUUUUCAAUAUUGAUCACAUUUUUGAAUAAUAUUUUAGAUAUAUUGGGUUAAAUAAAAUAUACUACUAAAGUUGA